AUUGAACGCUGGCGGCAGGCCUAACACAUGCAAGUCGAGCGGAUGAAGGGAGCUUGCUCCUGGAUUCAGCGGCGGACGGGUGAGUAAUGCCUAGGAAUCUGCCUGGUAUUUGGGGAUAACGUCCCGAAACGGGCGCUAAUACCGCAUACGUCCUGAUGUAGAAAGUGGAGGAUCUUCGGACCUCACGCUAUCAGAUGAGCCUAGGUCGGAUUAGCUAGUUGGUGUGGUAAAGGCUUACCAAGGCGACGAUCCGUAACUGGUCUGAGAGGAUGAUCAGUCACACUGGAACUGAGACACGGUCCAGACUCCUACGGGAGGCAGCAGUGGGGAAUAUUGGACAAUGGGCGAAAGCCUGAUGCAGCAAUGCCGCGUGUGUGAAGAAGGUCUUCGGAUUGUAAAGCACUUUAAGUUGGGAGGAAGGGCAGUAAGUUAAUACCUUGCUGUUUUGACGGUACCAACAGAAUAAGCACCGGCUAACUUCGUG
rnacentral:rRNA from 1 species